AGUCUGCUUUCCAAUUUUAAUCUAAUGCACCGUUGAGUUUCACCCUUUAACAUUUUAUUUUUAUGAUUCCUUUAACACGCACAAUAAAACAAAGUUUAAAGAACAUUCCCUAAAGCUUUAAAACAAAACGAAUGAAAGAUUUAUAAAUUUUUUUAUUGUUUAAAUCACUUUUCAUUGUUCCAGUUGCCCAAAUGGUUAAGCAAUGCACUUGACGCCAAGGUUGUGGGUUCAAAUCCCAAAGAGAACACCUAUGGGUUUGUUUUCUAAAUUUUGGAUAGAAAUGUCUGAGAUAUGCAACCAAUGUAAAUGUAAACGAAUUAAAACAGCUAGUUCAUUGCUGAGUUUCAGUAUCUUGUUUUCUCACAGGUCGUAUACCUUGAUUUACAAUGCAACCUCAGUUCUAACCCCAUCACUGCCAUCUCUGAAUAUUUCAAGAAUAAUCUGCUAAUGCUCAACUGACCCUUUUUAAAUUCUGCUGAACCCUGCAGUCCUGUCAGCUGACAAACAUAGACUUCCCAACCAUCAUGGAGGAAACACAGUGAAGGAAAUCCGCUGUUUUUCCUGUCAGGAAAAUAUGUUUUUCUCACCUUGCUCUAUCUAGCUAGAAGCUCUUUUAUGGUCGUAUCAAACCUCUCUCGCUGUGUUGUGAACCUGGUCAACAUGCGAAUACUUGAAAGCAAAUGAGAGCGAGACUCUGAAUAGAUUUUUGGAGAUGUUUUCAAGAGUUUGAGAGUUUCUGUUCUGUCCUGUGGCUAGAAAUUGUGUCUGGUCACAGGGGGAAGCUUUUUAGUUUGUGUUCCUUGCUUAUCUGAGGACUUGCAGUCAGGGAUCAAAUAUGUCUUAUCUUCUCAUUGUGGGACUCAUGGUACUGUGGAGUUCACAGCUUCAGUCGGCAUCGAAUCGUUGCGAUACACCCCACACAGUCCUGCACACAACUCCCUGCACGUCCUGUGCGGCUUCAACAGUUGUCGUCUGUCCACGAGGUUUCAGGAAAACAUCGAAGAACGCUGGGAACACUGGCUGCAGUUAUGUGGUGGAAAUAGGGGAUCGUCAGGUAGAGCUUCCUGGGUGCUUUCACACCUGCGAGAAAGUGACGACGGUCCAAAGGUGUUGUCCGGAUUUCUGGGGGCCCCUGUGCUUGCCUUGUCCUAGUUGGUCAGGAAAGACGUGUAAUGGUUAUGGCACAUGUCUAUCUGGUGACUCAGGGAACGGCACCUGUGUUUGUGAGGAGAGAUAUACUGGGUUUGCCUGCCAGAACUGUGUGAAUAAGAAUGCCUAUGGAUAUCACUGUCUUUCAGAGUGCAACUGUAUAAAUGGAAAGUGUAGCUUGGGACCAGACGGGGAUGGAGAAUGUUACUGCCAACCGCCAUAUUCAGGACCAAAGUGCGAUAAAGUUUCUUCAUCUUGUUCAAACUGUCCAGCAUACUCAUAUUGUAAGGGUGAUGACACAAACGCUGUAUGUGAGUGUUUGCCUGGAUACAAGAAGAUUGGACUCACAUGUAUAGGUAUGUGUACACCAGGCAUCUGUGACGUAAACGCAAAAUGUUCAUUCAGUGGUGGACAGUUUCACUGUAAAUGUGAAGACGGAUUUGUGGGCAACGGCAAACACUGCAUUCCCAUCAACCCCUGCGACACUGAUAAUGGAGGCUGUCCUAAAGACUCCACCGUCUGUGAAUACAUCGGCCCAGCCAAGUCGAAAUGUGUCUGUGUUCCCGGAACGGAGUCGUCCGAUCCUUCCAACGGUUGCACGGCAAAGUCAGUCUGCACGCCGAGUUCGUGCCACAACAGUGCUCGCUGUGAGACAAGCUCAGACGGCACGCACAGAUGCCUUUGCAAUGCUCAGCAGAUUGGCAAUGGCAGACGUUGCUAUGGUAACCUCAUGGAGAGAAUUCUGGAAUUGGAUAGAGACGGCAGUCAAGCAGCAAACCUCACUGGAAGCGUUAGACUGUUUGAACAAGGGUGUGAGUUUACUCUGAGUCAGCAUGGCCCAUUCACGGCAUUCAUUCCUGUAGGACAGAAUCCUUUCAAAACAGUUUUAGGCAAAUCCUCGUCCGUUGUGAAUGCAGUGUGCAAACAUCACCUUAUACUCGGACAGAGACUUUACAAAGAUCUGGAGGGGAACGAUCUGUGGACUUACGGAGGGGAAAAGAUCAGAUUCAAAACAAAAAAGCAAUUCAUAUUGAUACGGGAUCCAGAUGUGUUGUUUACAAUACUUGAGAGUGACAUCCCUGCAUCCAAUGGAAUAAUUCACAUUAUUGACAAGCCUUUUACUCUUGCUCAUGUCGAAUCUUCUAACAACAACAUGGAGUUUUCCUCCAAAACCAUUGGGGAGGUUUUCAGAGAUGAUGAAAGAUUCAAUCGAUUCCUGUCUCUAGUUGAUAAUUGUGGAGCUCUGUUGCCUGUGAGGGGUUCAGGUCCACUGACAGUGUUUGUUCCAACCAACAAAGCCAUAGACAAAUUCCGAGAUGGAAGUCUUAUGUAUAUGCUCAAUGAUGCCAAACCAAAGCUUCAGAUGCUUUUGAAACACCACAUGUUCUCGCUGGCUGCUAUCACUGUGGACCAGCUUGCCAGUAUGUCUGAGAUUACGACCAUGGCCAAUGAGAUCUUAACAAUCAAUGUCUCCGGGGAUGGACGAGUCUAUCUGGGUGAUAAAGGAAUACCACUCGAAACAAAAGACAUUGUUGCAUCGAAUGGAAUCAUUCACCUGAUUGAUGGAGUUCUUCUACCAUUCUCUAUAGUUCCCAUAAUGCCUCAUCGGUGUGACAUGAAUGAGAGUAGGAUCAUUGUGGGUCCUUGUGUCAGAUGCAGCAAUCUCUAUAAGACACAAUGUCCACCUGGAACUGUUGAGCUGGACAGUCAUCUGAGAGACUGUGAGCAAAUUCCGUACGCAUUUAUUGGGGCUGGCUGUGCCAAAUACUGCAACUCUACUCAAAUGCGAGCAGAGUGUUGCAGUGGUUUCUAUGGGCCAGACUGUAAACCCUGCCUUGGAGGUUUCCAGCACCCUUGUUAUGAUAAAGGGACUUGUUUUGAUGGAAUUGCUGGAAACGGCUCGUGUAAGUGUGAACCGGCGUUUAAAGGCAUUGCCUGCCACAUCUGCGCAGACCCAAACAAACAUGGAGAGAACUGUGAUGAAGAUUGCCGCUGUGUUCAUGGCAUCUGUGAUAACAGGCCUAGCAGUAUGGGGGUGUGCAGAAGAGGUUCAUGUCUGGCGGGAUUUUCAGGGGAACUCUGUGACCAGACCACCACCCCCUGCAAUUCAGAUGGUGCUUUUGAGCACUGCCACAUCCACGCUAAAUGUGUCUACAACAGUGGUCAAACCAUGUGUGUUUGUCUGCCUGGAUAUGAAGGGGAUGGUUACACCUGCACUGAAAGCAAUCUGUGCCUCAAAGUUGACAGAGGAGGCUGCCACAUCAAUGCCGAGUGUAUAUAUGAAGCAGGUAAGGUCAGCUGUGUUUGUAUGGAAGGUUGGACAGGCGAUGGAACAUUGUGUGUGCAGAUCAAUAACUGCAUGCUGGAAAAUCGUGGUGGAUGUCAUGAAAAUGCAGACUGCAUACCCACUGGGCCGGGCCAGAAUGGAUGUAGCUGCAAGAAAGGCUUCAUGGGAGAUGGCGUCGUCUGUCAAAUAGUCAACCCCUGUCUGACAAAUAAUGGAGGCUGCCAUUCUCUGGCAGUGUGUAAAUUGAAUAAGGACGCAACGCGUGACUGUACAUGCCCAAGUGGAUACGAAGGCGACGGAAUUAUAUGCUAUGGAAGCAUACUUGUGGAGCUAGAUGGAAACUCUGAAUAUUACAAUUUUAAUCACCUUCUUGAAAGACACAUGGUCAUUGACAGUGACAGCAAAGUGACGGCUUUAGUUCCAUCUAAAAGUGCUUUCAGAAACCUCAGCCUUUCGAAAGAGUCAUUUUGGAUCGAUAAUUACAGGCUGCCUCACCUUCUGCAAGUUCAUUUUCUAGAUGGGAUCUACACCUCUGAAGACUUGAAGAAGCAAGUCGGUAAAACAGUCCAAACCAUCGGCAAGACUAAAUGGGAGAUCCAAAGCAAAGGCAGGGAGCUCAUGAUCAGCAAUGCUACAAUUCUAGUUCCAGACAUAAAGGCAAUCAAUGGAUGCAUUCACAUCAUUGACACGGUUCUUCAGCCACCGCUAUCUGAUUUCCCGCCACCUCCUCCCAGUCUGAUGGAAGUCCUGAAUAACACGCCAACAUUCAGCCUCUUCACGAAGGCGGCACUGAUCUACAACUUGUCAGACAGUAUCCCAACUAGAGAUUACACCAUUUUUGUCCCAUAUGACAGCGCCGUACAGGAGUAUCUGAAUAAAAUGAACUCUACACAACUGCCCAAAGACAUUGUGAAAUAUCACGUGAUUUUAAGGGAGCAGCUCUUUCCUGAGCACUUGGGCGAUGGACUCUUCAAACCCACAUUUUUGGGAAAUGGCACUCAAAUCAUGUUUUAUGUGGACAGUGAAAAUCAGACUAUGGCCAAUGAUGUCCCCAUAAAUGGAAGUUUUAUUGAGACGAGGCAUGGCAUUGUGUUUGGCAUCCCACGUGUAUUAGAGAUCCACAAGAACCACUGCAGUAAAGAUGUGAUUUUGAAAACCUAUGGUCGAUGUGGAGAUUGUAACGAAGCACCUAAAUGCAUCUCUGACGCCAAACCCAUGCAGUCAAAGUUCCCUCCAUAUAUGAAGUCAAACUGUAGAUACAGGACAAGAGUUGGGAAGAAGAUAAAGACUGUGCCGGGCUGUCUUAUGCGCUGUUUGAAAACAACAAAGGACCACUCUUGCUGUCCAGGAUACUUUGGGCAUGAUUGCUUCAAAUGUCCUGGGACUGUGGACAACUGGUGCUCCAACAACGGUCGAUGCUACGACGGUCUGUACGGCAGUGGGAAGUGUAUAUGUAAUGAGGGCUUUCAUGGAACUGCCUGUGAGAUGUGUGAACCUGGCAGAUAUGGAAAAGACUGCAAGUCAGAAUGUCACUGUGAUUAUGGCAAGUGUUUGGACGGUAUGGAGGGAAAUGGACAGUGCAUUUGUUUAAAAGGUUGGAAGGGAGUGAAUUGUUCUGUUGCAGUCGUUAAUGAUGCCUGUGAUGGAAUUUGUGAUGUCAAUGCCAAUUGUAUUUCAGGAACUCCUUCAACAUGUUCUUGUACGGCUGGUUAUAAGGGCAACGGAACGUUCUGCAAAGAAAUUGACCGGUGUGCCACAAACAAUGGAGGGUGUUCAACAUACGCAAACUGUAUAAAAACUUUGCCUGGUGAAAGAAAUUGCAAAUGUAUCAACGGCUACACGGGCGAUGGUGUUGUUUGUCUCGAAAUUGAUCCUUGUUUAGUGGACAAUGGCGGAUGUGAUCAUAAUGCUUUAUGCAUGAAAACUGGGCCAAACAGGGUCGCGUGCACUUGCAAGCUUGGUUUUAUUUCCCGUGGUCAUAGAUGUCUGGCAGUUAAUCCAUGUUGGAAGAAUAAUGGUGGUUGCAGUCUUAAUGCUGCUUGCAAAUACCUCGGCGAUGGGGAGCGCAAUUGCACGUGCUAUAUUGGCUUCAAAGGCGACGGUUUUCAGUGCGUAGGGACUGUCAGUAGAGAACUUCUGCACAAACCCGAGGCUGCAUGGUUACAAAGAAAUUUUGCCGUAUCAAAAGUCAGAGAUUUAUUCAGUUCAGGGUCUUUCACUGUGUUUGUUCCUCAUGCUGACUACGCUGAUAACGUCACGAUUGAAGCAUGGGUAAAUAAAAGCUACGUUCCAGAUCUGAUGAGGUACCACAUUGUUGGUUGUGAAGUACUGCGUGAAUCUGACCUGAAGUCCGUUAAAGAGGUGGUCACCAGUAGCGGGUAUAAAUUACGCUUCAGUGUCAGAGAUGGUGUCGUGUACAUCAACGACAAUACGAAGAUCAUCACGAGUGAUUACGAGUGUUCCAAUGGAGUCAUACAUUUCAUAGACAAGGUCCUCUUUCCGUACCAACUGACGGACCAGAUGGCAGAAAUCAACACUGAUUUGAAUGUUACUGCAGCUGCUGAACAAUAUGGCUUCAAAAUCUUCAGUAAGCUUCUACAGGAUGCGGAAAUGAUGCAUGUGGUGCUACAUCGACCCUUCUACCCUUUCACCAUGUUCUGGCCGACAGACGAUGUUUUCAACAAUCUCCCUGAGGAGAGAAAAACGUGGCUGUACAGUGAAGACCAUCGUGACAAACUACAAGCCUACCUCAAAGCUCACAUAGUUCACGACCAGAGGACUGUUGCUGUCACUCUUCCUUCUGAGAAAAAAGUCAAAACGUUGUUUGGAACCGAGCUCACCUUCAGCUGCAACAAAGAUUUAAUUGGCGACAUAUUAAUCGGUGGAAAUAAUGCCAGAAUCAUAUCGCGAAACAUGCUGUUUGAUUCUGGAAUCGCUCAUGGGAUCGACCAGCUUCUGGAGCCUCCGAGCAUUGGCGCUCGCUGUGAUGACUUCGAAAGCACAGGGAUAAAGGGACUUUGUGGUUCUUGCACUGAGCCACCACCAUGUCCCCUUGGAGCUGAAGACACAAACAGAACUGGCAUUUGUAGACGACCCUAUAUGCCUUACAUGUAUAGACAGCUCUAUCCUAUGACACACAGUUAUUACGAUAUUCACUCAUAUGGUUAUGGAUACAACUCCUAUAGUAAUUGGCUUGGCUGUGUUCGUAUCUGUACAAAAAUGGUAUGGACUUUCAAGUGCUGUAAAAACCACUAUGGAAGAGACUGUCAAGUGUGUCCUGGCGGUCUGGAGGCACCGUGUGGCGAGCAUGGCGACUGUGAUGACAGCCAUCUCGGCACAGGGAGAUGUAAAUGUCACACAGGUUUUGCAGGCACAGCUUGUGAGCUGUGUGAAAAGAAUCACUUUGGGCCAAACUGCACAGCAUGUAACUGCACCAGCAAUGGCAAGUGUGAUGAUGGUCUAGAUGGUAUCGGUAGCUGUUUCUGUCAAGAGGGAUGGACGGGCAUAAGUUGCGAAGCAAAAAUCGAAGUCAAGCCGGUCUGCUCUCCAGUGUGUGAUCUCAACGCGGUAUGCCUCCCAGAAAAUCAGUGCGAGUGCGUACCACCCUAUGAAGGAAAUGGCAUCAACUGCACUGGUGUGUUCUGGAUAGCAUCUCUUGUAUUACAUUAUGUCCAAACCAGACAUGGUGCAUAAGGCAACAAGUGAUAAAAGUCCCCAAAAAAAGAGGCAGUUCAGACCGAAUGCGCUUUUGCGUUAAAAAUAGCCAGACCGCAGCGCAAUGAAAGCAACAGAAUGCAUGUGUCUCGAGACUCGUUUUUUAAAAGUUCAAGUUUUUUUAAACAUGGCAGGCUCUAACCAGACACAGUGCAUUCAGACUGCAGGUGCUUUCACUUUAAAAAUAGUCAGAACGCAGCGCAACGAAAGCAACAGAACGCAGGUGUCUCAAGAUUAGUUUUUUUUAACCCUUAUGUUGUGUUUUUAUUUUAUUGUUUUAUAUUUUACAAUUUGUUUUUUUUUACUUAAUCCAAUUGGAAUCAAAUUCAUUGUCUUCGUUCAAAUAUCCAUUUUCUUUACAUUUUCUUGGUUUCAUUUCAAUUUGUUACACCUGUUGUGUUCCCAGUCAAAAGGCCGUGGCUACAAAAAAUGAACAAAGAAAAAAUAAGUGUUCAGGAGCCUGUCCAACCAUCUGAUGAGCACCUACAGUAUGUGCAUGUGUACUUACACACAUAAAGUCCUCGGACAUGUGUACACACUCGUAUACACACCCAUACGCACACCCACAUACAUACACUCACACAAACACACACACAUACACACAAAAACAGUUCGUUUUUUUUUUAACAUGGCACGCUCCUGUGCUGACGCUGAAAAAACAGCAAGACGCGGCACAACAAACACAUGUUUAGCGCACGUUUACAUUGAAAAACUAUUUAUAAACGGACAUUAAAAAACGCUCUGUGUUAACAUCCCCUGAGUUUGUUUAUCUGAGUCUUAAUCAUCCAUGACGAGUGAAUGGACAUUUUAACUGGACAUUUUUAGCACAUGUUUACGGAUGCAAAAACACGUUUUGUUUGAACAUCCCCAAAGUCUUUUAGUCCAAAUCAGCCAUAACCCAGAUGAGUGACAGGACAUUUUGUCGAUUGCUUGGUUUCUGUUUUGGCAGUGUAACGAAAAGAGGUGUCUGGAGAUGCGUUUUUUUUAGAUUAAAAUGUUUUUAUUUGUUGAUUGUCAAACAAAAUACAGAAUAUAGCAAAGUGUACAUGUAUAGAGUCAACCGUUAUCCCCCAUUAAUUCCCCAUCCCCCUCCUAGUCCCCAAACCCCAACAAACAUUCCCGUGGUCUGUGCCUGAGUAUAGACAUAUAAACACAAAGAAGAAGGAAAAAAACUUUCUCUCCACAUGUUCCUCACCGAUAGCCUUCCUGAAAGGUAAUGUAUUUGUCCCAUUUCUUACCAUAUGCAUCUAAUCUGCUAAACUGUUUAUAUGACAUCUUUUCCAAUGCUGCCACCCUGCCCAAUCGGUGAACCAUUCUUGAAAUGAGGGAGUGCCAAUUGACUUGCAUCCUCUAAGAAUUAUCUGUCUGCUAAUCAUUACACUAGUUUGGACCCAGCUUUUUGUAUAUUUGUCACCAACUUUAAUAACCACCCCAUUACCCAAUAUACAUAGACUGGAGCAAAGUGAAAUUUGAGUAUCUAAAAUCUCACAGAUAAAAUUCUGGUGUCACGUUUAUGUGUUUUGUUCUUGUUUUCAUGUCUUUUAUUUUAAAGUUUAAUUCCUGUUCCUAUUCAGGUCAUGUGGUGUCAUGUCAUGUGAUUUCUUGUUCCCUCAUGUGAUCUUGUCAUGUGUUUCCCCUGUUCAUGUGUCUUGUUUUCAUUGGUUCAUUGUUUUGUUACCUUGUUAUCAGUCUUGUCUUUUCAUUGGUUAAAGUUCAUUUAGUCUUGUUAUCUUGUUUAUAGUUUAGUCUUGUGAUUGGUUGUCUUGUUUACCUGUUACCCAUGUCCUUGUAUUUAAGCCCUCAUGUUUGCCAUUGUGUAUUAUCAGGUAUUGUUUGUGAAUGUAUCUUUGUUGGUUCUAUGGUCAAAGUUAAAGUCAAGUCUCGUCUAAUAGUCUACCAAGUCAUGUCAAGUUUAGUUAAGUCAAGUUCAUGUAUAGAGUUAGGGUUUCAGGAUAUCACGAUUUAUAAUAAACUGCACCUGGGUUCCUAUAUCAUCAUCGUCUCCGUCUGCCUGUCAUUGCUGAGCUUCGUUACAGAAUACCUGACUGACACAAGAUGAACCCAGCAGUUCAGCUCAUUCAUCUAUGCCAGGGGAAUUGUCUCCUGGAGGAUUAUGUAGAGGAAUUCUGCGCUCUGGCCUGCAGGGUGGAUUUUAAUGAGGUGGCCCCCAAGGACUGUUUCCGUUUUGGGCUGAAUGAGCCGGUUUCCUCUCUGAUGCCUGACAGUCGGUGUGCCGACGGCCUUGCUUGGUAUAUCGACCUUGCCCUAAUGAUGGGUGGUUCACCAUUCACUGUAGGGGAGACGGUUAAUGAGCCAGCACCCAUGCCUGCCACGGUUAACAAGCCAGCGCCCAUGCCUGCCACGGUUAACGAGCCAGCGCCCAUGCCUGCAACGGUUAACGAGUCCGAGCCAAUGCCUGUAGCCUCGACCGUCCCAGAGCCAAUGCCUGUAGCCUCGACCGUCCCAGAGCCAAUGCCUGUAGCCUCGACCGUCCCAGAGCCAAUGCCUGUAGCCUCGACCGUCCCAGAGCCAAUGCCUGUAGCCUCGACCGUCCCAGAGCCAAUGCCUGUAGCCCCGAUCAUCCCUGUAACCACGCUCCCAGCUGUCUGGAAAAGGAGGAGAAGGAAAAGGACAUCUUUUCCCCAGUCUCUGCCAGUGUUCACGACCACGGAGGUUGUUCCAGAGUCUCUGCCAGUGUUCAUGACAACGGAGGUCGUUCCAGAGUUUCUGCCCGUGUUUGCGACCACGGAGGCCAUUCCAGAGUCUCUGCCAGUGUUCACGACCACGGAGGUCAUUCCAGAGUCUCUGCCCAUGCUCAUGACCAUUGAGGUUGUUUCCCAGUUAUCCAAGACUCUUAGCCUCGAGCCUCCCAUGGCUCCGCCUUCCACGGCUGCGCCCCUCGAGCCUCUCACGGCUCCGCCUUCCACGGCUGCGCCCCUCGAGCCUCUCACGGCUCCGCCUUCCACGGCUGAGCCCCUCGAGCCUCUCACGGCUCCGACUUCCAUGGCUGCACCCCUCGAGCCUCUCACGGCUCCGCCUUACACGGCUUCGCCCCUCGAGCCUCUCACAGCUCCGCCUUACAUGACUUUGCCCCACGUCAUGGCCGCCAAACCAGAGUUCCAAGUCAUGGCCACCAAGCCAGAGUUCCAUGUCAUGGCCGCAUCGUUGUUGGUUCUAUGAUCAAGUCAAGUCAUGUUUAUGUUUUGUUUCAUAGUCUACCAAGUCAUGUCAAGUUUAGUUAAGUCAAGUUCAUGUUUAUGUUUUGUUCACGUUUAGAGUUAGGGUUUCUGGAUAUCACGAUUUAUAAUAAACUGCACUUGGGUUCAUCACACAUCAUCAUUAUCAUCAUCUUUGUCAUUGCCAGCAUCAGCAAUGUUACAUCUGGACUCUUGCCCAGAAUUCUUGAAUCUUAGCACAGAACCACAGAGCAUGGGCCAUGUCUCCAUCCACCAACUGACAUCGCCAGCAGUUAGGUGUGUCUUUUAAACCAAACCUAAAGAGGGAGUCCAGUAGAAACGAUGCAAAAUCUUAAACUGAUUAAGGCGUACCCUUGCAUCCCUAGACAUAGUUUUUACAUUUUUUAAAAUACUUUCUCACUCCCCAUCCUCCAAUACCAAGUUCAAAUCUCUUUCCCAUAACUUCUUAAGAGCUGUUAAGGCCCCGUCACCAAGACUCUGAAUCAAUGAAGUAUAAUACACUGACGCUUCAUGCCCCUUUCCAAACCCUGUGAGCACAAUACAGAGAGUGUCUGCAGCUUUAGGGGGUGUGUACUGCCACCAAAAAUAGUACAAAGUAAAUGGUGCAACUGUAAAUACCGGAAAAAUUGAGACCUAGAAAUCCCAAAUUGCUGUGUUAUAUUUUCAAAUGAUCUCAAAGCUCCAUUUUCAUAAAGGUCACCAAGUGUAGCAACACCCCUCUCAGUCCAUUCUUUAGAGCAAAAGGGGGACUUGUUAAUACACAAUUUGGGGUUCAGCCAUAUGCUUGAGGAAACAUUUAGGUAAGUAUCAAAAUUGAACAAAUGGGAAACCUUUGUCCUUACUGAAUGUAAGUGUGAAAUAAUGGGAUGCAUUUUUACUUCUCCAGGCAGUUAUAGAAAGAUUUUGCAAUGGCAAGAUUGGGGCAAGGACCAUUUGUUCAAUGCAGUACCAGGGAGGGGCUCUCUCAGGUGGAAGAAAACAAUGGGCCAAGUGUCUAAGAUUAAAAGCAUAGUAAUAAAACAAAGUUUUGGGGAGGCCUAAACCUCCUUUGUCAAUUGGUCUAUGUAACUUACUGGAAUGCAUCCGAGGUCAUUUACCAUUCCAAAUAAAGGACUUAUAUAUUCUAUCAAAUUGUUUAAAAUAAGAAAGUGGAACUUCUAUGGGGAGAGGCUGUAGUAGAUAAUUGAAUUUUGGGAUACAAUUCAUUUUUAAAUCAUUGACCUUCCCUGCCUUAGACAAAUGUAGUGAAGCCCACCUAUCCACAUCACACAAGAACCUUUUCAUUAAUGGGUCAAAAUGAACUAAAUCUCUCAAAUUUGCUGGAAAUAAAAUGCCUAAAUACUUAAUGCCUUGCUUGGGUAUUCUUGAUGUAACAUAAUGCUUGACAGCCCCAAUCAGCUGUGCGCUUUCUACACUGUGAAAGAGACCCCACCACACACACACACACACACACACACACACACAAAUACACGCACAUACUCAUAGUGACGUCACCGCAAAACACAUGUGUCAAACUCGCUUCAGUUCAAGUGGCCCGCAAGCUCAAUUCUGAAGUGCAGGAUGGCAGGGGAUCGCAACGUUUCACUGAACAAUCAGUUAGCGUUUUCCUCGUAAAUAUUAAUGAGCCUUCCACUGUCAUCUGUAUGAUUUGCAGCACAUUUUGCUCACUUCAAAAGUGGAAUGAAACAGCGCUACAUGGAUCAAUUAUCAACACAGCUUAAUCAUAGCAGCACGAGUGCAGAGCAGGUGCAGUAAUUCAAGGACUGGUCUCAACUGCACAGACUAUUUUAAAUGCGCUUGUUAAUCAGGGAGAUGUGCGGCGGGGAUUGCAAAACUCGUUUGAAUGUGGUACAGAAUUGUCUGUAGCAAAACUCUUAUGUCUCGGUGAUAAAACUAGUUUAAAAUAAACAGCCAAUACUUUCUAAAAGGCACUGUCAAAGAAAACAGGAGAAAACAGAAAUUAGAAGUCUUUUCCAUUCUCAAAUCACAACACUUACAAAAAUGUACCAUGGAUUUACUGUAGUAACACUAACUGUACUGUAUUAACUAUAGUAGUUGUAGCAGAAAAAGUUUCUAAAUGUAUUUAGGCUGCUGUUUUUUCAUUACAAAAAUGCCAUAGUUCUUUAUAUAGAAACCAUAGUUAAUAAUCAUGGUAGUGAGGAGCCAUGCAUGGUUUUACCUAUGGUUACCAUGGACUUAUUACAAAUAUCAUUGUUAAAACUAUGGAUAUUAUGGAAGAACUAUGGUGCAUUUUCAUAAUUAUGGAUCAAACUAUCAGUUUUCCAUCUGUGUAAAAUCUGUUCUCUUGUAAUGCUCUCUGAUUGUUUUGUUUGCCUUCAGAAAUUCCAAGACAUGACUAUAGUUUAAUCAGUAGGAGCCUGAUGAAAGGAAUCUGUAAAGACCCAACUUAAUCACACUGUCAGAAUAUUUAAAUGUAGCAAUAUAAAAAUGAGGUGUUUAUUUUUUCCACAGAUGUUACUGUUGUUAAUAUCAUAAUUUUCAUCUGCACCCCGACCUCAAUAUCAAUGCUGUAUUGUCAAAUGUGCAAUAACAUCUUCAAUGCACAUAACAUGUAAUAUUAUUGGUAAUUGCAUGAGUGCUACCAAAGCAGGUGCUGGUACCACAUUUUCAAUGGGCCCUUUGAGGGCACAAAUAAACUGUGAUGUGGCCCAGGCUGAAAAUGAGUUUGACACCCCUGUUUUAAGCUAUUUCUCGGCCAAUAUGUGUUAAUAUGGGUCCGGCAUCACAGGCUUGUGGACGUGCUCACAUCAGCACUGCUGCUGAAAAAAUCCUAGAGGAAACGCUGUAUCAUCUGCAUAGAGUAGAAGUUUAUGUACCACACCUCCUGCUACAACACCAGGAAAAUCAUCCUCUUUUGUUAUUGCGGCUGCUAAUGGUUCCAGGGCAAGACAGAACAAUAAAGGGGAGAGAGGACAGCCUUGCCAGGUUCCCCUACCAAGAGAAAAAUUAUCUGAAAUUAAUCCAUUAGUUUGCACUGCUUAAUCCACCCAAUAUAAAUGUUCCCAAACCCGUAAAUUUCCAAAAUCUUAAAAAGAUAGUCCCAUUCCACCCUAUCAAAUGCCUUGUUGGCAUCAAGUGAUAUGGCAGCGAUCGGGGUCUGAUCAUUCACUACUGACAACAUCAUUUUUAUAAAACGUCUAAUAUUAUCAGAAGAACUACAACCAUGCUAGGACCAUGCUUGUUAAGCGCGACCCCGCAGAGAUCUAGCGUGUGUGGAGCCUUCACGCUAUUCUCCGCGGCAUCCACGCACAACUCACCACGUGCCCCACCGAGAGCGAGAACCACAUUAUAGUGACCACGAGUAGGUUAACCCAACGUGACUCUACCCACCCUAGCAACCAGGCCAAUUGGUUGCUUAGGAAGCCUGACUGGAGUCACUCAGUAUGCCCUGGAUUCGAACUUGCGACUCCAGGUGUGGUAGUCAGUGUCUUUACUUGCUGAGCUACCCAGACCCAGUUCACCUUUCUUUAAUGACUCUGUGUAAACUUCCAACAUAAGUGGAGCCAGUUCUAUGACAUAAGAACUAAAAAAUUCUGCUGCAAAAUCAUCUGGCCCCAGUGCCUUACCUGUUAGCCAGGCUUUAAUUACCUCAACAAGAUCCUCCAAAGUAAUAUCUGAGUCGAGAGAGUUUUUAUGAUCACUCGUCAAUUUAGGAAGUUCUAAUGGCUCUACGAAGUUGCUAAUAUCCUUAUCAGUAGACGAAGAUGUGGAACUAUAAAGAUCGAAAUAGAAUUCUUUAAAGGCUUUAUUAAUAUCAGAGGCAGAAAUAAAUAUAUUGCUUCCAGAAGACUUCACUGAAGGAAUGGUGGAAAAAAACUCUAACUGUUUUAUGUAUCUGGCAGGAUGUGUCCCUGCUUUGUCCCCCGACUCAAAGUAUGUCUGUCUUGCCCUUAAUAACCAAAACUCAAUCUUCUGUGACAGAAUAGUAUUAUACCCAUAUUUUAGCUGAGUCAACUCUCUAAGACCAUUGGAUGACAUUCGGCACUUCAGCUUUGUUUCAGCACUUUUAAUAUUCUAUGUGCUUUGAUCUUUUUAAUGAAGGAGGCAUAUUGUAUGAUCCGCCCCCAAAGAACUGUCUUAAGCACCUCCGAUGCCACACCCACAGAGGACACUGAGGACCAGUUGGUUUCUACAUAAACAUUGACUUCUGUCUUUAACAUUUGUUGAAAUUCAGGUUCUUGUAGAAGGGAUGUAUUAAAGUGCCAUCUGUAUGAUUUUCUUUUCUCUAUAUGCGGCUGUAACAGUCUAAGGACAGGCAAGGAGGAGGCGGGAACCAGCUUAACACGUCUCCGGCUGCCCCUUUAUCUUGCUCUCCCGCUGAUCAGCUGGUUCAGUGCCGGCCGUGCUCCAUCAUGGCCUGGCCAUGCCCACCUCCUCAUCACACACCUCCCCUGCCCGAUUCAGGCCGGGGUGCCACCGGUCUGACUAACUCCCCCCCCCAUCUCUGGGGGGGAGACGCUGCCCUUCCAGCCCUCCUGUCAGCUGGUGGCCCACCCCGCCUCCUGUGGACCUGGGGGGAGAGACGAGGGGAGGCAUGGGGAGAGGGAAAGGGCGAGCGGAGACACACACAGGGAGAGCAGAGAGAGACGAAGAACUUGCUCGCUGGCUCCCGGACGCACUGUUGCCCGGUCCUCAACCACUCUUCCACUGUCUGGCAGGUGCCAACUCGCUCCUCCCCUGGCAGAUGGAACUGCUCCUCCCCUUCUUGGCAGACGCCAGCAGUUCCUCCGGCUCUCGGCGGCUGCUCCCCUGGCGGAUGGCAGUGGCAAGGACUUCACGACAGCGCAUCCCUCCUCCCUUCCAGAUUUCGGCACCACUGUAACAAUAUAAAGAUGGGCAAGGAGGAGGCGGGAACUGGAUGAACAGUAAACAUAAACUUUAAUGGUAAACUUAAAACUAACAUAAACAAACGUGCAGCGCGGCCGCGUGCAUCUCUCUCUCUCGAACCGGCGUCUCCGGCCACCCCUUUAUCUCGCUCUCCCACUGAUCAGCAUGCUUCAUCAUGGCCCGGUCAAGCCCUCCUCCUCGUCACACACCUCCCCCGCCCAAUUCAGGCUGGGGCGCUGCCUCUCAAACCGGCGUCUCCAGUCACCCCUUUAUCUCGCUCUCCUGCUGAUCAGCUGAUUCAGUGCUGGACGUGCUCCAUCAUGGCCCGGCCACGCCCUCCUCCUCGUCACAGUGGCAACAUCUCUAAACACACCAAAGCAUGAUCUGAAACUAAAAUGUUCCCAAUUGAGCAGUCAGUGGUAGAUGUAAUAAGUGACUUAGAUUCUUAUGAACUGAUGAAAAAAGGUGUGGUCCCACCCAGAUUGAUUCAGAAGUCUCCAUAUGUCUGUAAGACCAAGAUUUUUACACAUCUUCUGUAGUGUCAACAUUGCUCUAAAGGGUCUACACAUUUUUGCUUCACUAUGAUCAUGGACUGGAUCCAUUAAAAGAUUUAAGUCUCCACCCAAAACCAUAUCAUGAAGGAUCCCAGCGGCUUGUAGCUUCCCCUCAAGAUCUAUAAAAAGUUCUAAUCAGCAUUGGGUGCAUAAAUAUUAUCCAAAUAAGGUUUUGCCCCUGUAUUUCAGGCAAAAUAAUAAUGACUCUUCCUAAAUUAUCUUUGAUCUAUUUGAGACAUUUGAAUUGUAAAUGCCUACCUAUCAAUGUGAUGACUUCCCUGCUCUUACUUGAACAAGCAUUGCAAAACACAUGCCCAAACUACCAAGUUUUUCAGCUUCCUGUAAAGAAAGGUGCAUUUCUUGAAGGAACACUACAUCAUAUUUUUUAUGCUUUUUUGUAAUUAAAAUAUUUUAUUGAUUCAAAGAGAAAGCACAACAGAGAAAAACACAACAUAUACACACCAGAAUCAACAUUUAACUUUUAACACUCAUUAACAUCCCUCCCCAAACACCAACCCCACCCUACCCCAAAGAACACCCCUGUGGUCACAUAAAAUAAUACACAAUAUUAUUUUAAAUAUAUAAUAUAAAAUAUAUAAAAUAAUUUUUUUUUCCCUCUCAUUUUCAGCAUAAACCUCAAAAUGUAUGCUUAAAACAAUAAAAAAAAAAAAAAAAUAUAUAUAUAUAUAUAUAUAUAUAUUUCAAAUUUGAGUGCCCAGAAUGUCAUGCAAAUAAUUCUGAAUCUUUAACCAAAAAUCUUGGAUCUUAAUGCAUCCCCAAAAAAUAUGGGCUAUGUCUCCAACUUCUGAUUGGCAUUGACAGCAGGUGGGUGUGUCUUUAAGACCAAGCCUAUAUAAUCUAGAGGGGGUCCAAUCAAAUCUUUGUAAAAUCUUAAAUUGCAUAAGGCGAACCCUUGCAUCUCUAGAUGCAGACUUGACAUUUUUCAGAAUCUUAGUCCACACUCCAUCCUCGAAUACCAAAUUCAAAUCUUUCUCCCAUAAUUUCUUAAUAGAAGUUAAAGCUCCAUCCCCCAUACUCUGAAUAAACAGGAAGUAGUACACUGAUGCCUCAUAACCUUUUCCAAAAGCUGCAAUCACCUCUCCCAAAGCAUCUGCCUCCUCAGGGGGGUGUGUGGUACUCCCAAAAAUAGUACAAAGCAGGUGGCGCAAUUGUAAAUACCUAUAAAACUGAGGUCUGGGGAUCCCAAAAUGUUGGACCAAGUUUUCAAACGAUCUCAACACUCCACUUUCAUAUAGGUCACCGAGUGUAGCAACCCCCCUCACAAUCCACUCUGGCCAGCAGAAAGGGGACUUGUCAAUACAUAGUCUUGGGUUCUGCCAUAUGCUCGAGGCAACAUUUAAAUAAGUGUCCAAUUUAAACAAUCUGGACACUUUAGUCCAUACCGAGUGUAAAUCGAAAUAACGGGAUGUAACUUUUAUAUUUUUUAUGCUUAAGGAAAGAUACAACCUUCCUUAUUUUUAUAGGGUGCCCCAGUCCAUUAACAUUCCACAUGGAGAGAAACAUUUUACCUAUAUUAAAGUGUUACAUAUUGACAUGUAAAGAUAAAUUGUGUACCCAAGGCAAAAUUAUAUAGACCACUUUCAAAUCCUGAACAACCCACAGAACAGAAAAAAUAAAUGAAAAUGGGCUUGAACCCUGCACAUAAAAGUCCCAUCUGGCAUCCAUCCCCCGGAAAUCUGACAGUCAAUGCACGCUCACGAGAUUUUCCGCAACACUAUUGCUACCGGAUUUCUCAAGUCCGGUGUUUUUUUUUUCUCCUUGUUUUGUAUUUGUUUUUUUAACAUAAACCGUGCCAUUAAAUUGCACAAAAAUGUAUUCUAUAUAAUAAGCCCCAGUAAAUAAUCACAUCGAACCCACAAAAUGAACAAAUUAACUCAACAAUAUGUCAAUAAAGGGAGAAAGAGAAAAAAAAAAAAAAAAAAA